CAGCCGCCCGGUAAUACAGAGGGUGCGAGCGUUAAUCGGAUUUACUGGGCGUAAAGCGUGCGUAGGCGGCUUCUUAAGUCGGAUGUGAAAUCCCUGAGCUUAACUUAGGAAUUGCAUUCGAUACUGGGAAGCUAGAGUAUGGGAGAGGAUGGUAGAAUUCCAGGUGUAGCGGUGAAAUGCGUAGAGAUCUGGAGGAAUACCGAUGGCGAAGGCAGCCAUCUGGCCUAAUACUGACGCUGAGGUACGAAAGCAUGGGGAGCAAACAGGAUUAGAUACCCCCGUAGUCCCUGUCUCUUAUACA
rnacentral:rRNA from 1 species